rnacentral:rRNA from 1 species
UGCAGUAGACGCUGAGGACAGGUGCUUGCACUAGUCUAAGGAGUUGCGAACGGGUGAGUAACGCGUAGGUAACCUACCUGAUAGCGGGGGAUAACUAUUGGAAACGAUAGCUAAUACCGCAUAAAAGUGCUUAACACAUGUUAAGAACUUAAAAGGGGCAACUGCUCCACUAUAAGAUGGACCUGCGUUGUAUUAGCUAGUUGGUGAGGUAAAGGCUCACCAAGGCGACGAUACAUAGCCGACCUGAGAGGGUGAUCGGCCACACUGGGACUGAGACACGGCCCAGACUCCUACGGGAGGCAGCAGUAGGGAAUCUUCGGCAAUGGGGGGAACCCUGACCGAGCAACGCCGCGUGAGUGAAGAAGGUUUUCGGAUCGUAAAGCUCUGUUGUUAGAGAAGAACGGUAAUGGGAGUGGAAAACCCAUUAUGUGACGGUAACUAACCAGAAAGGGACGGCUAACUACGUGCCAGCAGCCGCGGUAAUACGUAGGUCCCGAGCGUUGUCCGGAUUUAUUGGGCGUAAAGCGAGCGCAGGCGGUUCUUUAAGUCUGAAGUUAAAGGCAUUGGCUCAACCAAUGUAUGCUUUGGAAACUGGAGAACUUGAGUGCAGA